AUACGGAGGGUGCAAGCGUUAUUCGGAAUCACUGGGCGUAAAGGACGCGUAGGCGGGUUGGCAAGUCAGAUGUGAAAUCCUACAGCUUAACUGUAGAACUGCAUUUGAAACUGCUAAACUAGAGUAUGGGAGGGGGAGAUGGAAUUAGUGGUGUAGGGGUAAAAUCCGUAGAUAUCACUAGGAAUACCGAAAGCGAAGGCGAUCUCCUGGAACAUAACUGACGCUAAGGCGUGAAAGCGUGGGUAGCAAACGGGAUUAGAAACCCUAGUAGUCC
rnacentral:rRNA from 1 species